rnacentral:rRNA from 1 species
AGAGUUUGAUCCUGGCUCAGGAUGAACGCUAGCUACAGGCUUAACACAUGCAAGUCGAGGGGAAACGAUAGAGAAAGCUUGCUUUUUAUAGGCGUCGACCGGCGCACGGGUGAGUAACGCGUAUCCAACCUGCCCAUCACUUGGGGAUAACCUUGCGAAAGUAAGACUAAUACCCAAUGACGUCUCUAGAAGACAUCUGAAAGAGAUUAAAGAUUUAUCGGUGAUGGAUGGGGAUGCGUCUGAUUAGCUUGUUGGCGGGGUAACGGCCCACCAAGGCGACGAUCAGUAGGGGUUCUGAGAGGAAGGUCCCCCACAUUGGAACUGAGACACGGUCCAAACUCCUACGGGAGGCAGCAGUGAGGAAUAUUGGUCAAUGGACGGAAGUCUGAACCAGCCAAGUAGCGUGCAGGAUGACGGCCCUCUGGGUUGUAAACUGCUUUUAGUUGGGAAUAAAGUGCACCACGUGUGGUGUUUUGUAUGUACCAUCAGAAAAAGGACCGGCUAAUUCCGUGCCAGCAGCCGCGGUAAUACGGAAGGUCCAGGCGUUAUCCGGAUUUAUUGGGUUUAAAGGGAGCGCAGGCGGACCUUUAAGUCAGCUGUGAAAUACGGCGGCUCAACCGUCGAACUGCAGUUGAUACUGGAGGUCUUGAGUGCACACAGGGAUACUGGAAUUCAUGGUGUAGCGGUGAAAUGCUCAGAUAUCAUGAAGAACUCCAAUCGCGAAGGCAGGUAUCCGGGGUGCAACUGACGCUGAGGCUCGAAAGUGCGGGUAUCAAACAGGAUUAGAUACCCUGGUAGUCCGCACAGUAAACGAUGAAUACUCGCGAUUUGCGAUACACAGUAAGUCGCCAAGCGAAAGCGUUAAGUAUUCCACCUGGGGAGUACGCCGGCAACGGUGAAACUCAAAGGAAUUGACGGGGGCCCG